rnacentral:rRNA from 1 species
GAGUUUGAUCGUGGCUCAGGAUGAACGCUGGCGGCGUGCCUAACACAUGCAAGUCGAACGGGAACCCUUGGAUUCGUCUGGGGGGAGAGUGGCAAACGGGUGAGUAACACGUUGGUGACCUGCCCCAAAGAGGGGAAUAACCACUGGAAACGGUGGCUAAUACCCCAUGUGGUCUGUCGGUCGGACGGCAGAUUAAAGCGCCCCAUUAGGGGUUGCGCUUUGGGAGGGGCCUGCGGCCCAUCAGGUAGUUGGUAGGGUAAUGGCCUACCAAGCCGAUGACGGGUAGGGGGCGUGAGAGCGUGAUCCCCCACACUGGCACUGAGACACGGGCCAGACUCCUACGGGAGGCAGCAGUGAGGAAUAUUGCCCAAUGGACGCAAGUCUGAGGCAGCAACGCCGCGUGGGUGAUGAAGGCCUUCGGGUUGUAAAACCCUUUUCUGGGGACGAGAAAGGACGGUACCUCAGGAAUAAGUCACGGCUAACUACGUGCCAGCAGCCG